AAUUAAAAUAAAGAGAGAGGGGAAAGAGGAGGAGAAGCUUUUCAACUGGGUGGAAGGGGUGAGAGCACUUCUUUGGGAAGCGUUAGGACUGUUCAUCAUCCGGCCCAAUUCGAAAUUCGGUGAUUUCUUAAUCCGGUCCGAAAUAAAACCCAGACCUAUGCAGUUUGGGUAUGGAUUUAAAAUUCGGAUAACGGAUUAAGAAUCCGGUACUCGGUUUCAUUUAUUUUUUUUCCCUCCCCCAGCUAAAUACCCCCCCUCUCUCUGUCUCUCGCGUUCAUCUAAGAUUGAAACCCUAGCUGCUGCCGCCACUUCACCUCAUUCUGUCUCUCUCUGCCUGCUAAUGCGAAAAUGCCGAAAACCAUCUCAUUUUCAUCGGCUUACUCUCUCGUUUUUAUUUUCUUUUCUCACUUUCUCUCCCCUGCCCUCAUAUCUCUGCGCUAAAAGCCCUCUCUCAGUCACUCCGAAACCCUAGGCGUUGUCCCUCUUUCAAUCUCAGCCUCUCCGAAGCCCUAUCUGUAAUUCUUCCCUCUCAAGAACCCAAGACACAGUGAUUUGUAGCGAGAUUGAGGAUGCUACCUACAAAUGUUCUAAAGAAAACCUUCAAGAAGUUGGACCAUGAUGUAAAUAUAGAGAAUUUUAUGUGUUCAAGAAAGAAGUUUCAGAUGUGGAGAUGGAAGAAGUUCAGGGUGAUGGUAAUCUUCUGAUUUCCAAUCAGGAAUUGAGGAAUCAAUUAAGGGUAUUGCAAGCUCAACUUACAGGAGUACAAAAGAGACUGAGGUGCACCUUAUGGGCUUUUGUUUUUUGAAGUACUGCUUUUUCUUUCGGUUCUUGUGGAUCGUAUUGUUAUUGUUAGAUGGAUACUGAAUAAAAGCUCAAGUGUAUUUACUACUGCUUAUUAGAAACUCUCUGUUUUAUUGUUUUGAUGAGAAUGUUUGAGUAGUUACAAAUUGGGAAGACUAAAAUGCCAUUUUCUUUCUAAUUUAUUUUUUGCAGGAUCA